UUGGUUUUGCGUAACGAACAACCCUUCAGUGGUUUCAGGAGGAAACAACAGCCCGGUAAGGACACUGGGGCGAAUCGUCCUUUUUGACUAAGUUUUGAAUUAUUAAUUUUGAGUUUUCGGUAUUGUAAUGCAAAUUAAAUUGGGAUUUAAGGCCGUAGUUGCAAUUAGGGAAUUGUAUUAGUGUAAUAGGGAUAAAAUUUGAAGUUUAAUAUAUAAUUUUGUAAAUUAAUUAUGCAAUUUUUAUACAUUAAAAUAGUAUAUAAUUAUGUACAUAUAUGCAUAUGCGUAGCAGGCUCCCUGCAAAUCCACCCAUGCCUUGUAAAUCAGCCAUUUGCAUCCGCGAUUUGCGCAAAUCAGCCACGCGUCUGCAAUCGAAGCUCACCUCUGCAAAAGUUUAGAAGAUCUUGCACGCCAAGUUGAGUAAUGCCCAAGCCACAUUUGCCUAUAAAUGGGCAGUAAUCUUGGCCGAAUGGAAGCAGGGAUCCAAGAGGUAGGAAGAGAGAGAUCGGGAGGGAAGGAAGAAGAGAAGGGAUGCAUUCGGCCGAGGGAAAGGCAUAGGAAGCUCGAGCUCGAGCUUGCGAGAGAGAGAGAGAGAGAGAGAGAGAGAGAUCGGGUGAGAGAGUAAGUGGCCGAGGAAUGGCCAUUUCCAGCAGCCAUGGCCGAGAAGCAAAGCUUCGAUGCUCGGCCAUGGUGGUCAAGGAAGGAGAAGCAGCAGCGGGAAGGCGCAACGGAGGAUGGCGGCAAGGUCCGGGCGGCUUGCGGCGGUGCAAGGAAGCAACAGAAGUGACCGUUGCAGCAGCGAACGGCCAUGGUAGCAAGCUCAGCGCAGCCAUGGCCGACGCGCAGUGAGCAGAGCCGCGAGCAGCGACUGGGCGCGGCGCCGGCAUGCUGCGCGAGCAGCUUUCAGCAAUGUCAAUGAGGCCAACGGGAGCCGGCGAGGGCGGUGAUAGGCCGGCAGCAAGGCAGUUCGGCGGCUGGCUGAAGCUGGCCGUGCGCCCAUGGCGGAAGGAAAAGAACCAGGGAAGGGAGGAAGAAGAAGAAGAAGAAGAAGAAGAGGAAGAAGAAGAAGAAGAGAAGGAAGAAGAAGAAGAAGAAGAAGAAGAAAGGAGAAAAAAAUAUAUAGAAGAGGGAGCAGUGCGCGGGAGCAGGGGAGCGAGAGGUUGAAGAAGAAGGAAGGAAGAAAUAAAAGAAAAAAAGGAAAAGAGAAAAAGAAAAGAAAAAGAAAAAGAAAGAAAAGGAAGAAAAAGAAAAGAAAAUGGGAAAAAUGUCGAAAAAAAAAAAGAAAAAUCCCAGAAAAAUCUCAAAAGAUAGGAAAUUAUAUUUCGAUAACAUCCUAAAGAUUUUGGCGAGAAAACGGCUCAGGCACGCUUUUCGAGAUCAAGACACACAUACCGAGGAAGUCAGAGAUGCUAAGUUAAGGAUACUUCGAGGCUGAAGUUGAAGAGACUCGUGCAAAUUUUGAGGUUGGCACGCAAAUCGAGGCAAGGCACGAAUUUCGAAGUAGCUCGAUAAGCUCUAGAAAAUAUGUCAGAAAGGAUCAAACUCGGCGGGCGUUUGGGUGGUUAACGCGCUUACGGUAUGUCGAUGGUUCCAUCAGAAACGAGGUCUAUAAAAACGAAGCAGCAAAUGCACAGAAAACCAAUCCACAAAUUAAAGGAUAGAGAUAAGAGAGAGAAAUAGAGAGACACACACACAGGUGGCUGGCCGACGAUGGAGCAGACGAAGAAGACGAUGAUCGCCUUAACUCUGGUUUUGUUCAUAAUCUCGUUGUCGCAUUCGGAGAACGCCAAAGCUUCCGCUUCUGACUGCUACAGCUCCUGUCAGACCCACUGUAGCGGCGGCCGUCACCGAGUCCCAGUGAAGCCGGCGGCGGCCGCGCCAUGCGAUCGCAUUUGCGCAUCACAAUGCGGGCUAGAUCUUCAAGCUAAGGGCCACCAUAAGUGAAGAGGAUUCCAGUCUUUGGAUUGCAUGGAAACUUCAGCAGCAGCAGCUUGGUGUUCUUCCAUUUGCAAUUGUAGCAACCGCAUAUAUAUAUAUAUAUAUAUGUCUACAAUAAAAGAUAAUACCACUGCCGCUCAUAGAUAUUUGUUACUCUAGACAAGAUUUAUAUCGUUGGCUAUUUAAUAAUAUAAAUAAAUAUUAAAAAUUAUUAAAAUUUACUUUUCUUAUUUUU